AUGAAGGCCAUGGCGGAGGAACUGUCCUCCAAGCGUCAUCGGGUUGAGCUCCACGACAAGGAGACGCUGGAGAUCGUCUGCACCAGCGAACCAGAAAAGGCCAAAGAGGUGAUCUCCAGGAUGUGGAUGAAGCUUGGCGGCAGGUUUCGUAGGAUCGUCGGCGUUGGUGUGCACUACACCAACGAAGAUGAACCUCCCCAGAUGGCGGCAGUCCUGCAGUUGUGCGUCGACGAACUCUGCUUGGUGUACCACAUCACCGCGGCCACAAAAUGGCCCAAGCGCCUGACCGACAUGCUGCAGCAUGACAAGUUGUUCACAUUUGCCGGUUUCAGCAUUGAAACCGACAAAGAGAAGCUGAAGUUGUCCGGUAUGGAGAUCAACCCCAACAAGUUCAUCGACAUUCAGCGCAAGUGGAGAGUUCCAUACACCGGAAAAGAGUACGACUCCUUGACUGAUGUUGCAGCCAGCGUCAUCCACCCAUUCUACAAAGGCAUGAAGAACAAGAUCAACACG
rnacentral:rRNA from 1 species